UUUUACUUGAGUAAAUGCAUGAGAUUUACAGAGCAGGUGCACACCAGAGGCCUGUACUACGAAUCAAGAUCAACAUGCCCUGGAUUUCUUUCAGUUACCCGGCUUCACCUAACCUAACAACCAACAACUGCGGUCCUGCAUAAGCUGUAUCACGACGGUGGUUAACAACUAGUUCAAUCAACCCAGGGUUUCCCAAUCCAGCGGCGCGUGCGUUCACAUAAAAGAGGCGGUGUUUGCACAGCAUGACCAAUCGCAAACAUCUACCAGAGCCGCAUAUUUUACAUAAGAAGAACAAACUAUAAUUCUGCAUAAAUAUAAAGAAUACAGACACGGUUUUGCAGGCAAAAAGCAAUACAAUGGCACUCUCUCUCUCUCUCUCUC